GAAACAUCCAGAAGCUGUUGGGAAAGAAAAGUUUCCAUCGACACUUUCAUGUCAUUUUAGUCCAGUUUCAGGUCUUUUUUGUUCWUUUUGAACUUAUGGCCGAGCAAACAAACAAUUUGAAUAACAAAAYGGGGAAAUGUCUUCAACAUAACGAGGUCGAAGAGGAUGAAUCAAGGUCACACAGCCAGAAAGAUGGACACAAAUGGAUCUUCACCGUGGACCAAGAUGCCAAAAUGGAGACCAUCACUACAUCCAAAGCAACUUACGGCCCCAUAAAUAACCCAGGAGUCAGACUGAAAGGCGCCAGAAGAGAGCUUUUGGAAAAACAUCUUACUCAGWUGAUAAGGUAAGC